GACGAACCGAGCGAACGUUGUUCGGAAUCACUGGGCUUAAAGGGCGCGUAGGCGGGCUGUCAAGUCUGGGGUGAAAUCCCGCGGCUCAACCGCGGAACUGCCUCAGAUACUGACGGUCUCGAGGGAGGUAGGGGCGAGCGGAACUGAUGGUGGAGCGGUGAAAUGCGUUGAUAUCAUCAGGAACUCCGGUGGCGAAGGCGGCUCGCUGGACCUCUUCUGACGCUGAGGCGCGAAAGCGUGGGGAGCAAACAGG
rnacentral:rRNA from 1 species